UACAGCCAUAUCACAGUGAAACACCAGUUCUCUUCCAAUCACCGAAGUUAAGCAAUCUUGAGCCUGGUCAGUAGGUAGAUGGAUGACAGUUUGGGAAUACCAGGUGUUGUAAG